rnacentral:rRNA from 1 species
UGAGGAAUAUUGGUCAAUGGACGAGAGUCUGAACCAGCCAAGUAGCGUGAAGGAUGACUGCCCUAUGGGUUGUAAACUUCUUUUAUACGGGAAUAAAGUUAGCCACGUGUGGCUUUUUGUAUGUACCGUAUGAAUAAGGAUCGGCUAACUCCGUGCCAGCAGCCACGGUAAUACGGAGGAUCCGAGCGUUAUCCGGAUUUAUUGGGUUUAAAGGGAGCGUAGGCGGGUUGUUAAGUCAGUUGUGAAAGUUUGCGGCUCAACCGUAAAAUUGCAGUUGAUACUGGCGACCUUGAGUGCAACAGAGGUAGGCGGAAUUCGUGGUGUAGCGGUGAAAUGCUUAGAUAUCACGAAGAACUCCGAUUGCGAAGGCAGCUUACUGGAUUGUAACUGACGCUGAUGCUCGAAAGUGUGGGUAUCAAACAGGAUUAGAUACCCUGGUAGUCCACACAGUAAACGAUGAAUACUCGCUGUUGGCGAUAUACGGUCAGCGGCCAAGCGAAAGCAUUAAGUAUUCCACCUGGGGAGUACGCCGGCAACGGUGAAACUCAAAGGAAUUGACGGGGGCCCGCACAAGCGGAGGAACAUGUGGUUUAAUUCGAUGAUACGCGAGGAACCUUACCCGGGCUUAAAUUGCAACUGACUGAACCGGAAACGGUUCCUUCUUCGGACAGUUGUGAAGGUGCUGCAUGGUUGUCGUCAGCUCGUGCCGUGAGGUGUCGGCUUAAGUGCCAUAACGAGCGCAACCCUUAUCGAUAGUUACUAGCAGGUCAUGCUGAGGACUCUAUUGAGACUGCCGUCGUAAGAUGUGAGGAAGGUGGGGAUGACGUCAAAUCAGCACGGCCCUUACGUCCGGGGCUACACACGUGUUACAAUGGGGGGUACAGAAGGCAGCUACACGGCGACGUGGUGCUAAUCCCGAAAGCCUCUCUCAGUUCGGAUUGGAGUCUGCAACCCGACUCCAUGAAGCUGGAUUCGCUAGUAAUCGCGCAUCAGCCACGGCGCGGUGAAUACGUUCCC